GUUGGUGCGCUCCAUUUGUUUCGGAGUUGCUUUUCUGGAAAUGAUUUCGAGUUAAAAGGAUAAAUCGGAGCUUUGAAGUCUGAGUAAAAUCUAAAGAAUUAAACUAGGAUCGCAUCCGGGGCUCUUGGACAGGCGUUGGAUACGAAAGUGGGAAAAAAUUGCAAGGUCCGGACAAAUGCACUAAUGCAACGCACAAAGCCUAGCAUGGUGUGAUGCAUUAGUGCAAAAAUGCGUUAGAAGUUUGACAAGUUCAGAGACUGGGUUUCUUUGGUCUGAUAAGAAAAAGAUUUGCUGCAACGCAGACUGCAAUGCAUGGUGCGAUGCACUAAGGCAAAAUUUUGCCAAACAUGCGGAGUUCAGAGAGUUUGCAACUGAGUAAAGUACACUGAUGCGAUGCAGCCUGCGACGCACUAUGUGACGCAUGAAGUGUAAUAGGUUUGCAGGUUUUCCUAUUUCGGCUCAUAGAGGGUAGUUUUGUCCGGAUUUAUUUCUACAUGGUAUAAAUACACUAGAAAUAUAUUUUUUGAAGUACUUUUGACGUAUGAAUGAUUGGAGAACCAACCAAGGCAAAAGGACUCAAGAAUUCAUCAAGAUUUCAACCAACGAGCGGUGCAAUAUGAGAGUUUGUAUCGAAUCAUUGUCAUUGAUGUUUUCUUUGUGUUUAAACCUUAUUGAGAUGGUUUUUUCCAUAGCUAUGGAGUAAAUUCCAUUAGGGUGUUGACAGAUACAGUGUUUUGAUAACUUGAUUAGGGAUUCGAUUCUUGAUAAUUGAUGGAAUUAAUUGAUGUAGUUUUAGUUCAUAUUAUGGAGUUGUUUCUUAUUUUGCUUAA